GAUGAAGAACGUAGCAAAAUGCGAUAAGUAAUGUGAAUUGCAGAAUUCAGUGAAUCAUCGAAUCUUUGAACGCACAUUGCGCCCCUUGGUAUUCCGAGGGGCAUGCCUGUUCGAGCGUCAUAUUAACCACUCCCGCUUGCGGGGUCUUGGGCUUCGCCUCCGGGCGGGCCUUAAAAUCAGUGGCGGUGCCGUCGGGCUCUACGCGUAGUAAAUUUUCUCGCGAUAGGGUCCCGGUGGAUGCUUGCCAACAACCCCCAACUUCUUAAGGUUGACCUCGGAUCAGGUAGGGAUACCCGCUGAACUUAAGCAUAUCAAUAAGCGGAGGA
rnacentral:misc_RNA from 1 species